AUUGAACGCUGGCGGCAGGCCUAACACAUGCAAGUCGAACGGUAACAGGAAGAAGCUUGCUUCUUUGCUGACGAGUGGCGGACGGGUGAGUAAUGUCUGGGAAACUGCCUGAUGGAGGGGGAUAACUACUGGAAACGGUAGCUAAUACCGCAUAACGUCGCAAGACUAAAGAGGGGGACCUUCGGGCCUCUUGCCAUCGGAUGUGCCCAGAUGGGAUUAGCUAGUAGGUGGGGUAACGGCUCACCUAGGCGACGAUCCCUAGCUGGUCUGAGAGGAUGACCAGCCACACUGGAACUGAGACACGGUCCAGACUCCUACGGGAGGCAGCAGAGGGGAAUAUUGCACAAUGGGCGCAAGCCUGAUGCAGCCAUGCCGCGUGUAUGAAGAAGGCCUUCGGGUUGUAAAGUACUUUCAGCGGGGAGGAAGGGAGUAAAGUAAAUACCUUGGCUCAUUGACGUUACCCGCAGAAGAAGCACCGGCUAACUCCGUG
rnacentral:rRNA from 1 species